GACGAACGCUGGCGGCGUGCUUAACACAUGCAAGUCGAACGAUGAAGCUAGAGCUUGCUCUGGUGAAUUAGUGGCGAACGGGUGAGUAACACGUGAGUAACCUGCCCCGAACUCUGGGAUAACUGCUGGAAACGGUAGCUAAUACUGGAUACGACCUACGAAGGCAUCUUCUGUAGGUGGAAAGAAUUUCGGUUCGGGAUGGACUCGCGGCCUAUCAGCUUGUUGGUGAGGUAAUGGCUCACCAAGGCGACGACGGGUAGCCGGCCUGAGAGGGUGCGCGGCCACACUGGGACUGAGAAACGGCCCAGACUCCUACGGGAGGCAGCAGUGGGGAAUAUUGCACAAUGGGCGCAAGCCUGAUGCAGCAACGCCGCGUAAGGGAUGACGGCCUUCGGGUUGUAAACCUCUUUUAGUAGGGAAGAAGCGAAAGUGACGGUACCUGCAGAAAAAGCACCGGCUAACUACGUGCCAGCCGCCGCGGUAA
rnacentral:rRNA from 1 species